GUAGAACUUUAUUCAGCUUCACCCUUAUUUCAUUUUUCCAUAUAUUUAAGUGAUCCUUUCUAUACCUUUUAAGGUAAGCAAUCAUCUCAAGAUUAUCAGACAUCUAAAGAAAACUUUGGUAAACUGGACUAUAGUAAUCGUAUGAGAAAAAAAUAGCUCAAGAUUCCUAACUGCUACAAGAAUAGUGUUGAUGGGAUCAAACUCCUAAUUAUCCUAAUAGACCUAAUUCAUUUUUAAAUGUGGAAAAUAUGCAAGAUAAAUUAAAUGCUUAGUUAAAAAAAAAAAAAAGUUUCACCAACUGUUCUCCAUUACUGAGAAGCCCCCACACUGCCCCACUGUGCAUAUUCCUAGUAUUUCAUCCAUGUCCUGCUCUGCUGUGCUGCCCUACAAAAAAACCCUCCCGGGGGGGAAAAAAAAACAAAAAAACGGUGUAGUGUGAACUGCUGAAGAACUUAAAUGUUCAAGACAUCUUUAAAGUCUAGGAGUACCUGAAAACUGUGGGUAAACAUGGACCAUUUUCCUUGCGUAUCAACUUCACACUAAGCAUCUAACAUUCAAACAAAAAAGUGCAAAAUUUGUAAUUAUUUUUAACAGCAAGAAUUCCCAACCUCCUGCCAUCCACUGAUGUUCCAUCCUGUUUGAGGUUCUACAUUAAAACAUGAUUACUUUUGCCAUAAAAGAAAAUAUUACCCUUAAAAUAUCUAUUUGAUAUGUACAAACCACAUUUUUAUUCUGACAGGUCACAGAUUUUGAGCAAGUGCUUCCCUAGGUGACCCUACCUAGCCAAUAUGAAGGUGGAGCAAACACUGCUUUAGCUUAACUGCACUAAUAUUUACACCAUGUAACCCUUCUAACCAAAUAGAAUACUGCUGACCUGUCAUCAUCAGUUUGUGUGACAUGGCUCAAAUGUACAAAAAUAAACAUAGGGAGAAAUUAACCCAAUAGAUUUCAAAUUAAGUGAUAAAAGCAAGGCAAUUCAAAUAUUAACAUGGCAUAAAACUUCCCUACUUUAGUGGUUUCCAAAUGCUAUUUAUAAACAAGGGAUGAGUUCACUUGCUUAGAUAUUUGAAAUACAACUUUAUUCUGAUUCUAAACGAAAAGGAAUGGGAAUGACAGUAACAAACAAGAUUUCACCACUGAAUAUUGUGAUGUGACUGCAGCAGUCUUAUAUAUGAAACUCAAGGAAUCAACUGCGUUCCAAAACAGCUAAAUAUGCAGGUCCAAACAAUGAAGUUAUUUUUUAAACUGCCACAUUCACUCCGAAGCCCACUCAUCUCCUUCAGCAUCCCACAGAUGAAGCACAUGUUCCGCUUAGCUAGAUAAUAAUGAGGUGGCACACACGCUGCACCGCUGACAUCACAGGACAGCUGCCUAUAAAACUAGACUUCUGACGCUGGGCUCCAGCUUCAUUCUCACAGGUCAUCAUCCUCAUCCGGGAGAGCAGUUGUCUGAGCAACCUAGACGAAGAGAUGGAAAAACGUUAACACUCCAGAUCAAAACUGCCAGGAAUAAACAAGCCAAACCGAACAAUCUGAACAGCAAAGUGGCCACAAUACCUCUAAGUCGUGCUCAUACUGUGCUGCCAAAGCUGGGUCCAUGACAACUUCUGGUGGGGCGAGAGCAGGCAUGGCAACAAAUUCCAAGUUAGGGUCUCCAAUGAGCUUCCUAGCAAGCCAGAGGAAGGGCUUUUCAAAGUUGUAGUUACUUUUGGCAGAAAUGUCGUAGUACUGUUUAAAAGAAAGGUAAAAUUACUUUUUAAAAUUCAUUAUUAAGAUGACGAUUUUUCUAGGACAUUGCAAGAUAAGAAAAUGUUAAGAUUCUUGGCAAGGCAUGGUGGCUCAUGCCUGUAAUCCCAGCACUUUCGGGGGCUGAGGUGGGAUUGCCUGAGGCCAAUAGUACACGAUCAGGCCUGGGCAACAGAGCAAGACCCCAACUCCACAAAAAAACAAAUUAGGUGGGCAUGGUGGUGAGUGCCUGUGAGCCCAGCUACUCAGAAGGCUGAGGUGGGAGGAUUGCUUGAGCCCAGGAGUUCAGGGCUACAGUGAGCUAUGUUCAUGCCACUGCACUCCUGCCUGGGCAACAGAGCAAGACCCUGUCUCGAACAACAAAUAUAUAAAUACACAAACAUUUCAGCUGACCAACCGGGCCAACAGUGAAACCCAAUCUCUAUCAUUCUUUAAAAACAGUAGUAUAAAAAAGACAAAAUUAUUUCCGGCCGGGCACAGUGGCUCAUGCCUGUAAUCCCAGCCCUUUAGGAGGCCAAGGCAAGUGGAUCACUUGAGGUCAGGAGUUGGAGAUCAGCCUGACCAACAUGGUGGAAACCCCGUCUCUACUAGAAAAAAAAGUACAAAAAUUAGCCAGGCGUGGUGGUACACACCUGUAAUCCAGCUACUAGGGGAGCUGAGACAAAACUGCUUGAACCCGGGAGGCGGAGGUCGCAGUGAGCCAAGAUUGCGACACUGCACUCCAGCAUGGGGGACAGAGGAAGACUCCGUCUUGGGGAAAAAAAAAUCAUUUCCAUAUAUAAUAGAC
rnacentral:lncRNA from 10 species